GUUAUGAAUUGAUAAUCUUUUGUGUUGCUGCUAUACUUGAGGGAGAUCCUUGCUUCAGCUUUACAUCCAACUUAUGCUCCCUUUCUGCUGAUAGGACUGUGAAAGUGUAGCAUAAAAAGUUGCAGCGAAAUCUGUUUUGCUCUGACACUAUGCCGAAAUUACCUUUGCAGAGUAGUAGAGCUUAUCUUGCAGAAAAGAGAAAACAGAAAUGAGUGAGAAACUAGCAGUUUGCUAAAUGAUAUUGCCAAGAAGUUUGCAGUGAUUGGAUGGAGUCCUGGAGCUUAGAAGUUCUGGAUCACUACCACUUCACUUGCAGUCUAAUAUCUGUCCUAAAGUCUCACAUUCUUGCAGAGGAUGCAUGACCUAUCACAUUCCGGUGGAAAACUAAAUAGUGCAUAUUGUUGUUUUAAUGAAAAUGUUUGGGGGGUGUGUGUCAGAGUGUGUGUGUGUGUGCAUGAUCAUUUCUAAGUAUUGAGUUAUUGUCACUUCUUUGCGCUUAUGUUUGUGAUAACUAAUAAUAUUAAAGGAAUAAUGCUUUAUUUGCCUGAACUAAAAAUCCUAAACUGCUUAUUAUUUUGAAAUGCAUGUUUUCCAGUUGACCCUCAAUAACAUGAAUCACUGUUUUUAUCACAGAUUUACUCUCUUCAACGUACCGCAUAGUUUUUCCAUUCUUAAGAAGCCAUCAAAGGCAUUAAAAAUUGUCAACAAUUGUGAGUUUUAUGAUGCUUGAUGCUCAAGGUUUGGUUACUUUUUUCAACAAGAGCUUUUACCCUUUUGCACUCAUUCCCAUCAUUAUCGCUUUAGCUUUUAUUGGCUAUAUCGAUAUUUCAAUAAUUGGGUCAAAUGCAGCAUGAACUAUUUGUUAGUUUUCAUGUAUGCUUGAAUGAUAUAUGUGAAGGACUGUCAACUGCCUCAUAAGAAACAAACACAACAAUUUGAGCUAUGAUUGAAGACAUACAAAUAAAUGCUGGUUAAUGUUUUCAUAUGCUAAUGCAUCAUCUGCGUGCUGUUUCCCGAUCACCAGGAGGGAACGGAAUAAAAGCCUUAGCACACUUAAUACAAAAUAUGAUUAACUUAGUUACUAGUUAAGUUUCUAUUGUUCUUCUAUCAGCAGAUCAACAGACAGAAAACGCACUAUCUAAAUGGAUCAAUACUGAAGAACACAUGGAAGAGGAAGGUGCAGAUGCAAAUUAGAGGAAAUCAGGCAAGACAACACUUAAUUUGAUGAUUCCUUUUCCAUCCCUAGCUCUUCCAGUAUUUUUCUUUUUCUUUCCUUUUUUCUUUUUGGGUUUUUGGUUUGAUAUUUAUAGCCUGCUGAAGUGGAAAUAAAUUUCCUUUCACUGCAAUGAAAUGGUAACACUGUUCAGUCUAUUUUGAGGUAAAAUUUAUUGAGAAUACCAUAAUAGGAUUCUUUUUAAUCUUGAAUUAUAUAUAUGAAUGGAAGAACAUGUUGAAGGGUAAUGUUGGAGCAAGGUGUGUUGGUUCUUCUCAUGGUUGGCUUGUGCUUUCGGACUAGAACGGAGUUCCAAUUCUUCUAAUCCCCUUGUUCUUGUUCUUGUUCUUCCACUUCCAUUAUCCUGCCCCCUCUUCAUGCAUUCUUGCAACCUGUGACAUAUUCUUACUUUGCUGAAUACUCAAGUAAAACCUUCAUAGUCAAAGAAGUAUUGAUGUGUUCUUCCUCUCCUUCAAGCUACAUUCUUGCCAUCAUAUGUGGUAGAUUGCUUAUUGCAAAUCUGCAAUUUGGGUUAAACUCUGAUUAUGAUAAGCAAUGUUAUCGUGACAUAAAGUUUGGAAUAUUUGUCUGCAAAAUCCUUAAAGACAGCUUUUUGUUACACCAACCAUAGAGGCGCCAAAUUAUGAAGAGGAAGACUAUUUAGGAUAUAAAUUCUCAAGAAAUUUAUACUCGGUAGUAUCUGGAGAAGAAAUCUUGCUGGUAGUAAGGUAAAUUGGGAAUGUUGUGAAUGAAGAUGGGAUGGUAGUAGAAGGAGAUCUUUUGUCAUGUGGGGAUACACAACUAUCUAUUUAUCCUUAUAGGACAAAGUAUUUUACUGUGUAUAAGCUUGAUCUUCAAGACAAAGAAGUGGAAAACGAUGCGAUCUUUACAUCUUGGGUGCUAAUGAGUGUGUAUCAAUGGCUGCCAAAGCUUGCUUGGGUGUGAAGUAAAGUCAACUUCUUCACAGAUGAUAUGUGGGAAGAGAUGACUUUGGACUACAUAUAUGGUAUACAUGUUUGGGGUGUUUUCAAUCAUCAAGAAAAUUGUGUUAAGAGCCUCAUGCCAUUUGCAAAUAGGAUUCAUUCUACACCAAUUUGGUUUAUACAUGACUUGCAUGUACUAAAAUCUUGAUUAUGCUAUAUUAGAUAUUCACCCUUAUCUUUGUUAUUUGAUUCUAAUUCAGGGAUUACUGAUUAGAAUGA